CGCACAAGCGGUGGAUGAUGUGGUUUAAUUCGAUGCAACGCGAAAAACCUUACCCACCUUUGACAUGGCAGGAACUUACCAGAGAUGGUUUGGUGCUCGAAAGAGAACCUGCACACAGGUGCUGCAUGGCUGUCGUCAGCUCGUGUCGUGAGAUGUUGGGUUAAGUCCCGCAACGAGCGCAACCCUUGCCAUUAGUUGCUACAUUCAGUUGAGCACUCUAAUGGGACUGCCGGUGACAAACCGGAGGAAGGUGGGGAUGACGUCAAGUCCUCAUGGCCCUUAUAGGUGGGGCUACACACGUCAUACAAUGGCUGGUACAAAGGGUUGCCAACCCGCGAGGGGGAGCUAAUCCCAUAAAGCCAGUCGUAGUCCGGAUCGCAGUCUGCAACUCGACUGCGUGAAGUCGGAAUCGCUAGUAAUCGUGGAUCAGAAUGUCACGGUGAAUACGUUCCCGGGUCUUGUACACACCGCCCGUCACACCAUGGGAGCGGGUCUCGCCAGAAGUAGGUAGCCUAACCGCAAGGAGGGCGCUUACCACGGCGGGGUUCGUGACUGGGGUGAAGUCGUA
rnacentral:rRNA from 1 species